CCUCCCCCGCCCAGCGCACUCUGACACCUCCUCCCUGGCGUACAUAGUUCUCGAUAAGGUAGCGAAUUCCAUAAACGACCAGCCUUGCGUCCUUUGCGUCAUUUUCGUAUGGAGCUCGAAACUCGCCGUAAGCGACCAUCUGCAAGGGAAGGAGGGAAGCAAGGAUAAUUCGGAGUUUCCGAGUGUGAGAGGGGUUUUUUUUUUGGUGUCCCACGCGAGGGCUUCGCAGUGUGAGCUGAGCAGACACACCUCACCUUUCGAGCGUCGGGGUAUAGUUCGUUGUGAGAGGUUUUGUACGAGUCGGUCAGGACGGCGAGAGAGAGACCCAGGGGGCCCAUUUUGGAUUAGGAUUGUUCGAAGAGCCGAGAAAUGGGGAGACAGUUUUGAGGAGAUAUCUGAGAGAGCCGCGAGUUGUAUAAGGAACGUUCCUUCAAAGCCAUGUCCAGUCUGUCCGAAUUGAACCCUAACAUCUUAGGGCUGCACCUUCCACAAUCGAACCAUCGAGUAGCUCCAAAGUUUCCCUCAGGAUAGCAAAAGCUCAUAUCGAAGCUCAUAUCAGUUUUAUGAGGUAAAGCGAAUGAUUAGAGGCCUUGCGGUUGCAACAACCUUAACCCUUUCUCAAACUUUAAAUAUGUAAGACGUCUUGGUUACUUAAUUGAACCUUAAACACGAAUGAGAGCUUCUAGUGGGCCAUUUUCGGGAAGCAGAACUGGCAAUGCGGGACAAAUCAAACGUUGAGUUAAGGUGCCGGAAUGCACGCCCAGACAGCAGGACGGUGGCCAUGGAAGUCGGAAUCCGCUAAGGAGUGUGUAACAACUCACCUGCCGAAUGAACUAGCCCUGAGAAUGGAUGGCGCUCAAGUGUGCUACCCAUACUAAACCGUCAGAGUAAUUCGAGGCUCUGACGAGAAGGAGGGCAUGGAGGUUGUGAAGAAGCUUUGGACGUAAGUCCGGGUGAAAGAUCCUCUAGUGCAGAUCUUGGUGGUAGUAGCAAAUAUUCGAAUCAAAACUUUGAAGACUGAAGUGGAGAAAGUUUCCAUGUGAACAGCAGUUGGACAUAGGUUAGUCGAUCAUAAGACAUAGGGAAGCUCCAUCUCAAUGUGCACGAUUUAUCACGGCGAAUGUCGAAAGGGCAUCCCGUUAAUAUUCCGGAACUAGGAUAUGGAUACUUGUGCGGCAACGUAAGUGAGCUUGGAGAAGUCAGCUAGUACCCUGGGAAGAGUUCUCUUUUCUUUUUGACUGACUAUCACCUAUACUUGGAGAUAGGGUUCAAUGUCAGGCAAAGCAUCAAAACUUUGUUAUGUCCGGUGUGUUCCAGACGGUCCAUGAAGAUCUGAGGGAGAGUUUCAUUUUCAUACCUGGUCGUACUCAAAAACGCAGCAGGUCUCCAAGAUGAACAGCCUCUAGUUGAUAGAACAAUGUAGGUAAGGGAAGUUGGCAAAAUAGCUGUGUAACUUCGUGAAAAAGGAUUGGCUCUAGGGGUACGGUGCAUUGAGCCACUGUUCAAAACCUUUGAACUGGCCUGUGACUACUCGAGUCCCAAGACAAGAGCAGAUCCGGGCCAGAUCUGGGUGUGGCGGACUUUGGCAUGCUACACAGCGUCUGGUGCACAGUAAACAACCAACUUAAAUUUGGUACGGACAAGGGGAAUCUGACUCUCUAAUUAAAACAUAGCAUUGCGAUGGUUAGAAAAAAAUGUUGAUGCAAUGUGAUUUCUGCCCAGCGCUCUGAAUGUCAAAGUGAAGAAAUUCAACCAAGCAUGGGUAAAUGGCGGGAGUAACUAUGACUCUCUGAAGGCAGCUGAAUGCCUCGUCAUCAAAUUAGUGACACGCAUGAAUGGAUUAACGAAAUUCCCACCAUCCCUAACAUCUAUCUAGUGAAACCACAGCCAAGGGAACAGGCUUGGCAUAAUCGUUGGGGAAAGAAGACACUGUUGAGCUUGACUCUGGUUUGACAUUGUGAAAAAACAUAGGAGGUGUAGAAUAAGUGGGAGCUUCAGCGCCAGUGAAAUACCACUACUCUGAUCAUUUUUUUACUUAUUCAAUGAAGCGGGAUUGGCCUUCACCGGCCGCCUUCUGGUAUUGCGGCACUCCGUGUGCUCAACUGGGUUGAAGACAUUGUCAGGUGGGGUGUUUGGCUAGGGCGGCACAUCUGUUAAAAGAUAAUACAGGUGUCCUAAAGGGAAUACACUGAGAACAGAAAUCUCAAGUGGAUGAACAGUGUAAAAGUUGGCUUGAGUUUCAGUGUGAAUACAAACCAUGCAAGUGUGGCCUAUCGAUCCUUUAGGGGCUUGGUAUUUCAGCGUAGAGGUGUCAGAAAAGUUACUACAGGGGCUUGCGGCGGCCAAGCGUUCAAAGCAACAUUGCUUUUUGAACCUUCGAUGUUGGCUCUUCCUAUCAUUGAGAAGCAAAAUUCUCAAAGCAGAUUGUUCACCCUCCAAUAGGGAACGUGAGCUGGGUUUAGACCCUCGUGAUACAGGUUAGUUUCACCCUACUGAUGAAGGGUUAUUGCAAUAGUAAUUCAACCCACUACGAGAAGAACUGUUGAUUUGCAUAAAUGGUUUUUGCAGUUAGCUGAAAAGCUAGUGCCCUGACGCUACCAUGCGUCCGACUACAGCUGAAAGCCUCUAAGUCGGAAUCAUUGCUGAAACGCGAUGAUUUCUCCCCUCUCCAUGUCAGAAGAAUACAUAUAGACAUCGGUUCAGAAUGAUUAAGGAGUAGCAAUAGGGGAAGCGGAAGAGCGGCCCUCAGCAUAUUGUCCAUGACAUGAAA
rnacentral:rRNA from 1 species